CCAAUAGCGUAUAUUAAAGUUGUUGCAGUUAAAAAGCUCGUAGUUGAAUUUCGGGAUCAAUAUAUUGGUCAUGCUUAGGUAUGUACUGGUAUUAUUGAUUUCUCCCUUCUGAAGAACAAUGAUGUCAUUAAUUUGAUGUCGUGGGGAAUCAGGACUGUUACUUUGAAAAAAUUAGAGUGUUUAAAGCAGGCUUUCGCUUGAAUACAUUAGCAUGGAAUAAUGAAAUAGAACGUUUGAUUCUAUUUUGUUGGUUUCUAGGAUCGACGUAAUGAUUAAUAGGGAUAGUUGGGGGCAUUAGUAUUCAAUUGUCAGAGGUGAAAUUCUUGGAUUUAUUGAAGACUAACUACUGCGAAAGCAUUUGCCAAGGAUGUUUUCAUUAAUCAAGAACGAAAGUUAGGGGAUCGAAGACGAUCAGAUACCGUCGUAGUCUUAACCAUAAACUAUGCCGACUAGGGAUCGGAUGAUGUUAAUUUUUUAAUGACUCAUUCGGCGCCUUACG
rnacentral:rRNA from 1 species